GGUCCGAGUUGUAAUUUGUAGAGGAUGCUUUUGGUGAGGUGCCUUCCGAGUUCCCUGGAACGGGACGCCGGAGAGGGUGAGAGCCCCGUACGGUUGGACGCCAAACCUCUGUAUAGCUCCUUCGACGAGUCGAGUAGUUUGGGAAUGCUGCUCUAAAUGGGAGGUAAAUUUCUUCUAAAGCUAAAUACCGGCCACGAGACCCGAUAGCGCACAAGUAGAGUGAUCGAAAGAUGAAAAGCACUUUUGAAAAGAGGGUUAAAUAGCACGUGAAAUUGUUGAAAGGGAAGCGUUUGCGAACCAGACUUUUUCCAGGCGGAUCAUCCGGCGUUCUCGCCGGUGCACUCCGCCUGGUUGAGGCCAGCAUCGGUUUCCUUAGGGGGAUAAAGGCCUGGGGGAACGUAGCUCCUUCGGGAGUGUUAUAGCCCCUGGCGUAAUACCCCUCGGGGGACCGAGGAACGCGCUCUGCAAGGAUGCUGGCGUAAUGGUCGUCAACGACCCGUCUUGAAACACGGACCAAGGAGUCGAACAUUUGUGCGAGUGUUUGGGUGUCAAACCCUCACGCGUAAUGAAAGUGAACGGAGGUGAGAGCCCUUACGGGUGCAUCAUCGACCGAUCCUGAUGUCUUCGGAUGGAUUUGAGUAAGAGCAUAACUGUUCGGACCCGAAAGAUGGUGAACUAUGCGUGGAUAGGGUGAAGCCAGAGGAAACUCUGGUGGANGCUCGCAGCGGUUCUGACGUGCAAAUCGAUCGUCAAAUCUGCGCAUGGGGGCGAAAGACUUAUCGAACCAUCUAGUAGCUGGUUACCGCCGAAGUUUCCCUCAGGAUAGCAGUGUUGUCUUCAGUUUUAUGAGGUAAAGCGAAUGAUUAGGGACUCGGGGGCGCUAUAUUGCCUUCAUCCAUUCUCAAACUUUAAAUAUGUAANAAGCCCUUGUUACUUAGUUGAACGUGGGCAUUCGAAUGUACCAACACUAGUGGGCCAUUUUUGGUAAGCAGAACUGGCGAUGCGGGAUGAACCGAACGCGGGGUUAAGG
rnacentral:rRNA from 1 species